CUGCGGUGAUGACUUUCUUAGGACACCUUUGGAUUUUAGCGUGAAAAGAAAAAAAGGUCUCUGAGCAGC
rfam:Calypte anna contig28464, whole genome shotgun sequence.